GGCAGUCUCCUUGGAUAUC
rnacentral:miRNA from 1 species